AAAUCGUACCCCAAACCGACACAGGUGGUCAGGUAGAGAAUACCAAGGCGCUUGAGAGAACUCGGGUGAAGGAACUAGGCAAAAUGGUGCCGUAACUUCGGGAGAAGGCACGCUGACAUGUAGGUGAAGCCCCUGCGGGUGGAGCUGAAGUCAGUCGAAGAUACCAGCUGGCUGCAACUGUUUAUUAAAAACACAGCACUGUGCAAACACGAAAGUGGACGUAUACGGUGUGACGCCUGCCCGGUGCCGGAAGGUUAAUUGAUGGGGUUAUCGCAAGAGAAGCUCCUGAUCGAAGCCCCGGUAAACGGCGGCCGUAACUAUAACGGUCCUAAGGUAGCGAAAUUCCUUGUCGGGUAAGUUCCGACCUGCACGAAUGGCGUAAUGAUGGCCAGGCUGUCUCCACCCGAGACUCAGUGAAAUUGAACUCGCUGUGAAGAUGCAGUGUACCCGCGGCAAGACGGAAAGACCCCGUGAACCUUUACUACAGCUUGACACUGAACAUUGAGCCUUGAUGUGUAGGAUAGGUGGGAGGCUUUGAAGCGUGGACGCCAGUCUGCGUGGAGCCGACCUUGAAAUACCACCCUUUAAUGUUUGAUGUUCUAACCUGGCGCCGUGAUCCGGCGUGGGGACAGUGUCUGGUGGGUAGUUUGACUGGGGCGGUCUCCUCCCAAAGUGUAACGGAGGAGCACGAAGGUCAGCUAAUCCUGGUCGGACAUCAGGAGGUUAGUGCAAUGGCAUAAGCUGGCUUGACUGCGAGAGUGACGGCUCGAGCAGGUGCGAAAGCAGGUCAUAGUGAUCCGGUGGUUCUGUAUGGAAGGGCCAUCGCUCAACGGAUAAAAGGUACUCCGGGGAUAACAGGCUGAUACCGCCCAAGAGUUCAUAUCGACGGCGGUGUUUGGCACCUCGAUGUCGGCUCAUCACAUCCUGGGGCUGAAGUAGGUCCCAAGGGUAUGGCUGUUCGCCAUUUAAAGUGGUACGCGAGCUGGGUUUAGAACGUCGUGAGACAGUUCGGUCCCUAUCUGCCGUGGGCGCUGGAGAAUUGAGGGGGGCUGCUCCCAGUACGAGAGGACCGGAGUGGACGCAUCACUGGUGUUCGGGUUGUCAUGCCAAUGGCACUGCCCGGUAGCUAAAUGCGGAAGAGAUAAGUGCUGAAAGCAUCUAAGCACGAAACUUGCCCCGAGAUGAGUUCUCCCUGAGACUGUAAGUCUCCUGAAGGAACGUUGAAGACGACGACGUUGAUAGGCCGGGUGUGUAAGCGCAGCGAUGCGUUGAGCUAACCGGUACUAAUGAACCGUGAGGCUUAACCUU
rnacentral:rRNA from 1 species